AGAUUGAACGCUGGCGGCAUGCCUUACACAUGCAAGUCGAACGGCAGCACGGGAGCAAUCCUGGUGGCGAGUGGCGAACGGGUGAGUAAUACAUCGGAACGUGCCCAAUCGUGGGGGAUAACGCAGCGAAAGCUGUGCUAAUACCGCAUAAGAUCUACGGAUGAAAGCAGGGGAUCGCAAGACCUUGCGCGAAUGGAGCGGCCGAUGGCAGAUUAGGUAGUUGGUGAGGUAAAGGCUCACCAAGCCUUCGAUCUGUAGCUGGUCUGAGAGGACGACCAGCCACACUGGGACUGAGACACGGCCCAGACUCCGUACGGGAGGCAGCAGUGGGGAAUUUUGGACUAAGUCGGGACGAAAGCCCGUAGACGUCCGUACGG
rnacentral:rRNA from 1 species